GGUGGAUAGUAAGAGUAAGGCUUUGCUUUCCACAAACAUCUGUGUGGACACUUGGUAUAUCAGUAUAGUUGUGGAUCCAGAAGAAUGGAAAAUGAUAGUGGGAGGGAACUUCCAUCCUCAAUGGCCAUACACAGAGAGCUCUGUUCCAAGUGCUACUCCUGAAUGAAGAAGUGCCGGUGCUGACUGUAAAUACAGAACAACGGCAGUCACCCGAAAGAGCCAGCCUUGCAGCAGCCCAGAAGAACACAAGUCAGCCUGACCAAGUCGGCUGUCAUCCAGGCCAGACCCAGAACUUUGAGUUGGACAACACCUACUCCAUCUACCAGCCACUGGACCCUGUGGAGGAGCUGGUGCAGCGGAUCUAGAUCCAGGAGCAUCACAUCGUCAUGACCAAAGAUGAAAAUCUGAAGCUGGUCUGUGAUGAAAGAAGUUUAAAAGAUGGUCUGGUAUUUAUGGUACUUCAGAGAUCAGAGGCCUUGAGCCAGACCAAUGACACCUGGCAUACUUGUCUGGGAAAUAAAAUAUAUACUGAGUGGUGCA